GUAGGUGGCAAGCGUUGUCCGGAAUUAUUGGGCGUAAAGCGCGCGCAGGCGGUUUCUUAAGUCUGAUGUGAAAGCCCCCGGCUCAACCGGGGAGGGUCAUUGGAAACUGGGGAACUUGAGUGCAGAAGAGGAGAGUGGAAUUCCACGUGUAGCGGUGAAAUGCGUAGAGAUGUGGAGGAACACCAGUGGCGAAGGCGACUCUCUGGUCUGUAACUGACGCUGAGGCGCGAAAGCGUGGGGAGCGAACAGGAUUAGAUACCCUGGUAGUCCACGCCGUAAACGAUGAGUGCUAAGUGUUAGAGGGUUUCCGCCCUUUAGUGCUGCAGCAAACGCAUUAAGCACUCCGCCUGGGGAGUACGGUCGCAAGACUG
rnacentral:rRNA from 1 species